GUACACAUGAUGAGAACACGUGGAAUAAGUGUUAGCAAUAGCACCUGAUUCUAAUGAGGAUCCUCCAUACUGCCUUCCUUCUGAGAUCUAC